rnacentral:rRNA from 1 species
GCACCGGCUAACUACGUGCCAGCAGCCGCGGUAAUACGUAGGGUGCAAGCGUUGUCCGGAAUUAUUGGGCGUAAAGAGCUCGUAGGCGGUUUGUCGCGUCUGCUGUGAAAUCCCGAGGCUCAACCUCGGGCUUGCAGUGGGUACGGGCAGACUAGAGUGCGGUAGGGGAGAUUGGAAUUCCUGGUGUAGCGGUGGAAUGCGCAGAUAUCAGGAGGAACACCGAUGGCGAAGGCAGAUCUCUGGGCCGUAACUGACGCUGAGGAGCGAAAGCAUGGGGAGCGAACAGGAUUAGAUACCCUGGUAGUCCAUGCCGUAAACGUUGGGCGCUAGAUGUAGGGACCUUUCCACGGUUUCUGUGUCGUAGCUAACGCAUUAAGCGCCCCGCCUGGGGAGUACGGCCGCA